AGAGUUUGAUCCUGGCUCAGAACGAACGCUGGCGGCGUGCCUAACACAUGCAAGUCGAACGGAAGUAAGAAGCUUGCUUUUUACUUUAGUGGCGCACGGGUGAGUAACGCGUAGAUAAUCUGCCUUGGAAUCUGGGAUAACAUUUCGAAAGGGGUGCUAAUACCGGACAAGCCCAGGGAACGAGAGUUUUUGCGGGAAAAGGGGGCCUCUGAACAUGCUCCUGUUUCAAGAUGAGUCUGCGUACCAUUAGCUAGUUGGUGGUGUAAUGGACCACCAAGGCUACGAUGGUUAGCUGGUCUGAGAGGAUGAUCAGCCACACUGGAACUGAGACACGGUCCAGACUCCUACGGGAGGCAGCAGUGGGGAAUUUUGCGCAAUGGGGGAAACCCUGACGCAGCAACGCCGCGUGAGUGAUGAAGGCUUUCGGGUCGUAAAGCUCUUCUAGAGGGAAGAAGUGUAUAGAGGUUAAUACCCUUUAUGCUUGACGGUACCUCUGAAGGAAGCACCGGCUAACUCCGUGCCAGCAGCCGCGGUAAUACGGAGGGUGCAAGCGUUGUUCGGAUUUAUUGGGCGUAAAGCGCGUGUAGGCGGUUUGUUAAGUCUGAUGUGAAAGCCCUGGGCUCAACCUGGGAAGUGCAUUGGAAACUGGCAGACUUGAAUACGGGAGAGGGUAGUGGAAUUCCUGGUGUAGGAGUGAAAUCCGUAGAUAUCAGGAGGAACACCGGUGGCGAAGGCGGCUGCCUGGACCGAUAUUGACGCUGAGACGCGAAAGCGUGGGUAGCAAACAGGAUUAGAUACCCUGGUAGUCCACGCCGUAAACGAUGAGUACUAGGUGUUGCGGGUAUUGCCCCUGCAGUGCCGCAGCUAACGCAUUAAGUACUCCGCCUGGGAAGUACGGUCGCAAGACUAAAACUCAAAGGAAUUGACGG
rnacentral:rRNA from 1 species